UCUGGUUGAUCCUGCCGGUAGUCAUAUGCUUGUCUCAAAGACUAAGCCAUGCAUGUCUAAGUAUAAAUAACUACACAGUGAAACUGCGAAUGGCUCAUUACAACAGUUAUUGUUUAUUUGAUACAUUAAAUGGAUAACUGUAGAAAAACUAGAGCUAAUACAUGCUAAAAUCGUAAGAUUGUAUUUAUUAGAUAUUCCAGAUUGGUGAGUCAUAAUAACUUCGCAAAUCUCGUUUAUGACGAGAUAGAUCAUCCAAGUUUCUGCCCUAUCAUGCUUUCGAUGGUAGUGUAUUGGACUACCAUGGCUCUCACGGGUAACAGGGAAUUAGGGUUCGAUUCUGGAGAAGGAGCCUGAGAAACGGCUACUACAUCUACGGAAGGCAGCAGGCGCGUAAAUUACCCAAUCCUGACUCAGGGAGGUGGUGACAAGAUAUAACAACGCGGUUAUUAUCGCGAUUGUAGUGAGGGUAUUCUAAACAGAACCUAUAGUACGAUUAGAGGGCAAGUCUGGUGCCAGCAGCCGCGGUAAUUCCAGCUCUAAUAGCGUAUAUUAAAGUUGCUGCAGUCAAAAA
rnacentral:rRNA from 1 species